rnacentral:rRNA from 1 species
GAUCCUGGCUCAGAUUGAACGCUGGCGGCAUGCCUUACACAUGCAAGUCGAACGGUAACAGGGAGCUUGCUCCGCUGACGAGUGGCGAACGGGUGAGUAAUAUAUCGGAACGUACCAUUCAGUGGGGGAUAACGUAGCGAAAGUUACGCUAAUACCGCAUAUUCUGUGAGCAGGAAAGCAGGGGAUCGCAAGACCUUGCGCUGAUUGAGCGGCCGAUAUCAGAUUAGCUUGUUGGUGAGGUAAAAGCUCACCAAGGCGACGAUCUGUAGCGGGUCUGAGAGGAUGAUCCGCCACACUGGAACUGAGACACGGUCCAGACUCCUACGGGAGGCAGCAGUGGGGAAUUUUGGACAAUGGGGGCAACCCUGAUCCAGCCAUGCCGCGUGAGUGAAGAAGGCCUUCGGGUUGUAAAGCUCUUUCAGCCGGGAAGAAAACGCAUGGGUUAAUACCCUGUGUGGAUGACGGUACCGGAAUAAGAAGCACCGGCUAACUACGUGCCAGCAGCCGCGGUAAUACGUAGGGUGCGAGCGUUAAUCGGAAUUACUGGGCGUAAAGCGUGCGCAGGCGGUUUUGUAAGACAGGCGUGAAAUCCCCGGGCUUAACCUGGGAACUGCGUUUGUGACUGCAAGGCUAGAGUACGGCAGAGGGGGGUGGAAUUCCACGUGUAGCAGUGAAAUGCGUAGAGAUGUGGAGGAACACCAAUGGCGAAGGCAGCCCCCUGGGUCGAUACUAACGCUCAUGCACGAAAGCGUGGGUAGCAAACAGGAUUAGAUACCCUGGUAGUCCACGCCCUAAACGAUGUCAACUAGGUGUUGGGAGGGUAAAACCUUUUAGUACCGGAGCUAACGCGUGAAGUUGACCGCCUGGGGAGUACGGCCGCAAGGUUAAAACUCAAAGGAAUUGACGGGUACCCGCACAAGCGGUGGAUGAUGUGGAUUAAUUCGAUGCAACGCGAAAAACCUUACCUACCCUUGACAUGCCAAGAACUUUCAGAGAUAGAUUGGUGCCCGAAAGGGAACUUGGACACAGGUGCUGCAUGGCUGUCGUCAGCUCGUGUCGUGAGAUGUUGGGUUAAGUCCCGCAACGAGCGCAACCCUUGUCGUUAAUUGCCAUCAUUUAGUUGGGCUCUUUAACGAGACUGCCGGUGACAAACCGGAGGAAGGUGGGGAUGACGUCAAGUCCUCAUGGCCCUUAUGGGUAGGGCUUCACACGUCAUACAAUGGUCGGUACAAAGGGUCGCCAAGCCGCGAGGUGGAGCCAAUCCCAGAAAGCCGAUCGUAGUCCGGAUCGCAGUCUGCAACUCGACUGCGUGAAGUCGGAAUCGCUAGUAAUCGUGGAUCAGAAUGUCACGGUGAAUACGUUCCC